AUAAAUGGGAAAAUAUAAUUAUUAUAACAAUGGGAAUGUGUGUUUGUUGUGUGUAUGCUGCCGUGUCUCUUUUCUUUUCCUUUCCUUUCCUUUCUUUCCUUUC
rnacentral:ribozyme from 1 species